rnacentral:misc_RNA from 1 species
CCGUACACUGAUAAACCUCUUCAAUGUUUGCUCCAAGGGCUAUGAGCCUUGGGCGAGUUAAGGUUUUCUGUGUUGUUUUCCUACUAAUGGCAUUGGUUUCCUCUAACCUUUCCUCUCCGUCCGGCAUCCUUACGGGUGUUGGGUGGACCUAUGUAGCUAGGUCCGUCUUCCAACCAUGGUGGCGAAAACCAAACUGCUGGAUUGGAAUACGGUCUCUAGUCGUGCCCCGGGAUGCAGAAAGUUGCGUGGGGAUGGUUCAUUCGUCGUAUUCCCAAUUAAGCGUUUUACGCUAAGCAUGAACGACUACCGUGGACGAGUUGGACAUUACCCUCUCUUCGAGGGGGUGCUCAUGCGUUUCGGUGUCGAUCGAGGAGUGCUACCUGGUUGAUCCUGCCAGUAGUCAUAUGCUUGUCUCAAAGAUUAAGCCAUGCAUGUGUAAGUAUGAACAAAUUCAGACUGUGAAACUGCGAAUGGCUCAUU